AAUGUAUGAGCUAAAUGAACAGACAACAGUGCUACGUCUGGAAUCAUUUAAUUCAUUGUAAGUUUGCAGACUCAGACCAUGUGCACCCCACGAUUACCAUUUAGUAAAUCUACAUAGAUUUCUAUAAAUACAAAAAUACACAUUUGAGUACUGAUCCAUAAUCCAUAGAGUACACACCAGUACUAGUGAAACAGAACGAAUCCAUAGAGUACACACCGGUACUAGUGAACUAGUGACACACCCACAGAACGAAUCCAUAGAGUACACACCAGUACUAGUGAACGCUAGUGAAACACCUACAGAACGAAUCCAUAGAGUACACACCAGUACUAGUGAAACACCUACAGAACGAAUCCAUAGAGUACACACCAGUGCUAGUGAAACAGAACUAAUCCAUAGGGUUCACACCAGUACUAGUGCUAGUGAAACAGAACUAAUCCAUAGGGUUCACACCAGUACUAGUGCUAGUGAAACACCUACAGAAAUCAACUUGAGCUGAAAUGGAGAGCGGAACAGUUACUGCCCUUGUUUAAAACAGCAUAACACCCAUUUUUACAAUGUCAGUAAAAAAAAAAAAAAUUAAAAAUCAACUCCAGGCAGUCAUAAGACUUCAAUAAACAGAUAUACGUGUGUGAUUCA
rnacentral:lncRNA from 1 species